AGAAAGAAAUGGCGAAGAUGGAAAUUGUAAAACGAGAGCGCCCGAGGUUUCGUUUUGGCGUCUAAAGUCGCUCAAGAAAAUGAAAGGGUAAAAAUAGAAGGAGUUGGUGUUACAGUGUCAAAGAGAUCAUUAAACAUUUAUAAACGGACAAGCUAUUUCACGUGUUUACUGUUUGUGUUUUCUUUAUUAAAAUAUCUUCAUAGUGUUUUCGGGAAUUAAGUAAUUAGAUUUAUGCAUUACCA